rnacentral:misc_RNA from 1 species
GAUGAAGAACGCAGCGAAAUGCGAUACUUGGUGUGAAUUGCAGAAUCCCGUGAACCAUCGAGUCUUUGAACGCAAGUUGCGCCCGAAGCCACUAGGCCGAGGGCACGCCUGCCUGGGCGUCACACGCCGUUGCCCCCCCAUCUACUCCUUCGGGAUUGCGGGGGGGCGGAUGAUGGCCUCCCGUGCGCCUAGCCGCGCGGUUGGCAUAAAUACCAAGUCCUCGGCGACGCACGCCACGACAAUCGGUGGUCGCGAAACCUCGGUUGCCCGUCGUGUGCGUUCGUCGCGCAUCGAGGGCUCGAAAAAAUGCUCGGCUCCGGCUGGGCUUUCAACGCGACCCCAGGUCAGGCGGGGUUACCCGCUGAAUUUAAGCAUAUCAAUAAGCGGAGGA